CGCUGGCGGCGUGCUUAACACAUGCAAGUCGAACGAGACGAUUUAAGCUGCUAGAUGAGUCGAGUGGCAAACGGUGAGUAACGCGUAGACAACCUGCCGCAAAGAUGGGGACAACAGUUCGAAAGGACUGCUAAUACCGAAUGUUGUAUCUUUCCCGCAUGGGAGAGAUAUUAAAGAUGGCCUCUACUUGUAAGCUAUCGCUUUGCGAUGGGUCUGCGUCUGAUUAGCUAGUUGGUGGGGUAACGGCCUACCAAGGCGACGAUCAGUAGCCGGUCUGAGAGGAUGAACGGCCACAUUGGAACUGAGACACGGUCCAGACUCCUACGGGAGGCAGCAGUGGGGAAUCUUCCGCAAUGGGCGAAAGCCUGACGGAGCAACGCCGCGUGAGUGAAGAAGGGUUUCGGCUCGUAAAGCUCUGUUGACGGGGACGAAUGUGCGAAAUGCGAAUAGUUUUUCGCAAUGACGGUACCCGUCGAGGAAGCCACGGCUAACUACGUGCCAGCCGCUGC
rnacentral:rRNA from 1 species